AGAACAUCCCAGAUUAAGAUAGGCCCUGUGCUCUUCUCUUACCACCAGUUUGUCUUCACAAAGGGUUGCCAAGGAAGCCAGAGUGGAGGCUGUUGGAAGGAUGGGUUUGAAUGAACUUUGGCUGCUCCACAAGCAGGCUGAUUACUGAGGAAACAUCAAAAGCUUCACCCGAAUGACUCAUCACCCAGAUCCAACAGAGGACUUGAACAGCAUUGUGAAGCUUGUCAGUGAUAACUUCAUCCCAUGUAAUGCUGACUAUUUGGUGGUUACAUGGCUGUUCCAGGUGAUCAACCCAAGCUCCUCAACCUGGAGUCCCAGUGAAGGCAACUAUUUGCCUGAGUGAAGACUCAGAGUGAAGAGAAAUGUGCCUUUUGCUGAUAAUGUACCUGAAGGGUGAUGAAGGUGAGCUAGACAAAUGGGGAAAAGUAUGCUCAGCAAGUCAACAUAUUCAGGCUUUCCACAUCACUAGGCCCACGUGCAACAAGUAAGCAGGCAUAGUCUUUCUGGAAGAGGAGCACGGGCACCUGCUUGCUGAUUUCCCUCACUACCAAGAAACCUGAAUCAUCACCACAGACCCCAAACAUAGGAUUUUGAAAACAACAAAGUAGAUGAGAGCAGAGAAAAGGAGGGACAGAUGCACAAUGGGAGAGAAAGAAAGAACAAAAGGGACAGGAGGGGGAAGAUACAUCUGGCUGUGCCUGAAGCAAGAACUACUGUUGGAUUUUUUACUAACAUGAGCCAAUCACUUCUGUUGACUUUAACCAUCUAUACAAAAUCACAGAAGACUGGCAUAUGGAGGUUAACUCAAGGGAUUUGGGGAGAACUUUCUCCUCC